GGAGACAGGGCCACACUUACCCUAAUGACAGUCUCCGGGGUCUUCAUCCAGCCUGAGCACCGUGCAUGGAGCCUGGCCUGAAGUGCUCCAGCUCAGAGGAGGAGGAGGGAGAGGCAGGCACCUUCUGUCCAACAGGAAGAAGGAACCCAAGACUGAAGACCCACAGCUAAAGAUGAUGAAACUAAGACUAAGAGAAGUUCACCAACUUGUCCAAGGCCACAACUCACAGUGGAAUCUGAACUCGGCUCCAUAUGACUCGAGUCCCACGAUCUUUUCAUGUUCCCUGCUACCUCUCCCUCUCAGCCUGCUACAGUGAUGGGACAUUUAUGAACUUGCAAAAUGCUUUCUUACAAAUUAUCUUAUUUGAUUUUCACAAACAUGUGUGAGGCAGGUAUAAGUUCUGUUCUAUGGAUGAACAAUUAGUCUUCAGGUAAAGAACAACUUGUCCAAGGUCAAAUAGCUGAUAAGUAUCUGGGAACUGGGACCUAAAUACACAUUUGAUGAGUAACUUUGCCACAAUAUCUUAUCUGGACACUUGAAAACAUACUCCAGCCCUGUCAUAAACCCAGGAGAAUUUGAAGAUGUCCCUCCCUACUUACAGCCUGGUUUCAUGAUCACUAGAAACUUGUUUAACUAAACUCCUUUCUGUUCUCAGGAUGGCUCAGGGGACUGAGCUGGAAAAAAAAAAAGGCCUCAGAAGGGAAAUGGAGGCCCAGAAAGCUUUGGUGAGCAGCUCGAGAUUACAUAGGACAUGGAGACCAGAACUCAUGUUUCCUCAAAUAGUUCAUUUCCAGGGGGCUUUUAGGCUAUUACUUCUAUAAUCUGCCCUCUGUCUGCCUCAGGGACUCUCCCCUCCAACCCCCAUUUGGACCAUGAACUGAUGCCAAUGGCACCAAGGAAGCAUCAACUGAUACUGGGCAGAAGGGCAGGGCAGUGGCCCCUGGGAGUCUUCAUGGCUCCUCUGGCAGAAAGUACCUGGAGGCAUCAGCUCAUGGACCUGGAGCAUAUCAGCAAGGAACAGAGAUAAACUGUACCGCAUCACCACCCUGGCACUACUCAUGAGAAACUUUCCCAACCAUUAUGCUUGGUUGACUUGGCCGGGAAGGAGUUAACACACAACAUGUGAGGAGUACACUGAGUAGGGAGCUGUGUUCUUGGGUGACCUGUGGGUAUCUGGGCCCAUUUAAUGCACCAAGUCUUCAAAUAGUGGCAGCCAUCACAGGCUUUCCUGUCUGCUUGUGCAUGCACACGGGGAUCCUUCACUUGGUGGCUUCUCCCCAAGCAAACAUUUUUAGCCCAUCCUGGUUUCUCCUCACUGCCCUCUCUACCCUGGGAAAUGCAAUCCACAUUGUCCAAGUCAGACCUAAUUAGACCAGCAAAUCGGUGGCACUCAAGUCAUCACAGCACACUCCAAGCACAAGAGGAAAUGCUGUGUAGGUUAUCCUGUGCGCUGCUUGUUGUGUCUGUUUGUGUUUCCUUGGAUUAUCCAUUCUCUGCUCCCUGCCUUCCAUUACCUCACUAAUGGAGAGGCAGGAUGCAGUCCUCCACAGGCCAGCAUUCAUCUUCCCAGUCUGACCCUCUCGGAGGCUAUUACGCUGCUGUCGCAAGAUCGACGAGGGGAGAAAAAUGAAAACAGUGCACAGGGAACAAUGGAGGGCAAAUGGGACUCUUUUAGAACCGGAUCCACUGAUACGUCAGGCCAAGGAGAAAUGACCACAAGCUGUGAAAAGUGGAGAGCUCCCCCAGACAGCAAAGCCAGGUGAGUGGGCUUCCCCACUGGGCUGCCCACAGGAAGAGGCCAGGCUGGUGGGGAUAGAAGGGUGUCUGUCUGCAGAAGGCUGGGCAGCCUAGGCCCCACAAAAUGAGAGGAAGGUUACUGAGGUCAUUGCUGCCCCUGCCUCAAUUAAAAAAUUAGAAAUCCUCCCCACCCGGCUCUGU
rnacentral:lncRNA from 1 species